rnacentral:rRNA from 1 species
UACAGAGGGUGCUAGCGUUAAUCGGAAUUACUGGGCGUAAAGAGUGUGUAGGUGGUUAUGUAAGUUAGAUGUGAAAUCCCUGGGCUCAACCUGGGCAUUGCGUUUAAAACUGCGUGACUAGAGUACUGUAGAGGGUGGCGGAAUUUCCGGUGUAGCGGUGAAAUGCGUAGAUAUCGGAAGGAACACCAGUGGCGAAGGCGGCCACCUGGACAGAUACUGACACUGAGACACGAAAGCGUGGGGAGCAAACAGG